rnacentral:lncRNA from 1 species
CUAAAGCCAACUGGUUUGGGAGUCACCGGCCUAAAACUCGUUACAUGGGUUAUAUAGAAAGCAAAUGAGAAGAUGAUGAAAAAAAAAAGAAUUUCAGAGAAUUAGAGAAAAGUGAGAAAAACAAAAUAGAGACAAAAACAUGAAGAAAAGCCCUUUUGGACAUUUGGUGGAAGAAACUAUACCUUUGAGGCAAGGCAAGUAGCCUAAUUUAAUCUUGAGUGUCGAAGCAAUCAAAACUUAGGAGAGCCUUCACUGGUUAACAUGUAAACUUGUGAUAGUGAGAUUAAGCCAAACUACGAGAGG